rnacentral:tRNA from 1 species
GAGGGUAUAACUCAGUGGUAGAGUACAUGCUUAGCGUGCAGGAGAUCCUGGGUUCAAUCCCCAGUAUCUCCA